rnacentral:rRNA from 1 species
GAAUUCGAUUAACGCGAAGAACCUUACCAACCUUUGACAUCCCGGUCGCGGGCACCAGAGAUGGAGCCUUUCAGUUCGGCUGGACCGGAGACAGGUGCUGCAUGGCUGUCGUCAGCUCGUGUCGUGAGAUGUUGGGUUAAGUCCCGCAACGAGCGCAACCCUCGCCCUUAGUUGCCAUCAUUCAGUUGGGCACUCUAAGGGGACUGCCGGUGAUAAGCCGGAGGAAGGUGGGGAUGACGUCAAGUCCUCAUGGCCCUUACAGGUUGGGCUACACACGUGCUACAAUGGCGGUGACAGAGGGAUGCAAAGGAGCAAUCCCCAGCAAAUCUCCAAAAGCCGUCUCAGUUCGGAUUGUGCUCUGCAACUCGAGCACAUGAAGUUGGAAUCGCUAGUAAUCGCAGAUCAGCACGCUGCGGUGAAUACGUUCCCGGGCCUUGUCACACCGAAUCACUA